AGCCCGCGGCGCAGCGGCCGCCACGCUGCGCCCCUAGGCCCAGCCGCUGCGGCGCCGGCGGGAGCAGCGACCGACCGCCGAUUAGUUUUAUCUCGGAACGUCAAUUGACUUAUACUGAUUGGCUUCCUGCCGCCAAAUGUCAAUUAAAUUGCAAAUGUUCAGCGGAGGCCCAGCGCGGGCCGCGAUGGCGGGAGGCCCCUUCCCGAGGGCGCCCGGUGCUGCCGCGGUGGGUUUGAGUUCUCCUCCUACGCCGCGAGCGGCAUGGCUGAGCCUUCCGGGGCCAGCAACCCUCAGGCCCCGCCUGGGAGUUGGAGGGAGACCCACGGAGCCGAACAAGCCUGCCCUGGAGUAACUCCUGCUUCCAAGAAGAGGGACCUUCGCUAGGUGACAAGGCUGGCAUGGUCUUUAAUAAACUCCCUUUCGCUGCUCCCUCGUGGUUUUCCUCACCAGCCAAGGCUCAGAAGAACUUGGAUGCUUAGAAUCUUCAAGUUUGCGUGUGCUUGAGGAAAUGGACAGACAGUUGUCUGGUGCCCUGGGCUUCACAACCGAAGCAGAUUCUUUUUGCUGGCUUGCUUUGCUUUUGAAACAAGAUCUCUUAUAUUCCAACCUGGCCUGGACCAUCCUAUGUAACCGAGGAUGACCCGGAACUUCUGAUGUUCCUGCCUCCACUCUCUGAGACCAGGGAUUACAGGUGUGCACCACCGUGACCUCUUUGUGUGGUUCUAGGGAUAAAAGGGGCCACGGCUCCAGGAGACACUAUUUUUUGUUACCAUUGUUGAGGUUCUGUUUUGUUUUGUGACAGACUCUCUCUAUGGAGGCCUGGAAUUGGUGAUCCGCCCGCCUCCACUCUCUCCUAUUAGAAUUGUAGGUGAGGACCACCAAGAUUGAUUCCUGAAAAGUGACUGGGGCACAAGGCAGGGAAGUCAUCCCAGAGUUUCCAAAGACAAGUGACUGUGGGACUUGCAUUCCUCCAGAUCUUUGGCUUCACUGUUUGCUCCCAGUGGACAGAUGGCAAACAUAAGACAAACAUCAAUGCCCUCUGCCUGCAUAGAGCACCAUCGCUCCCAGAGCACUUUCCUGUGUUCUGGGGCUCGCUAAACUUGCCAGGACUCGGAAGGAAUCACUCACUCUCUCUUUUGAUGGUGCUGGGAUUUCAGGUGUGCACCACCACACCUGGCUGAGCACUUCCUUUUCUGAAGAAAGAAGAUGAUGGGAUACUGGUCCAGGUUGGCCUAGCAGGUGUAUCUGCAGCCCUGUCGGAGAUCCUUCCCCUCUCUAGAGCUCGACCUCCACCCGUGGGACAGAAGAACUGAACCAGGCAACCUGUCUGUCCUCUGGCAGUGCUCCUGUGUUGGUUUCUUGGCCCUAAGGACUCCACAAAUAAGAUGAAUGCACCCACCAGGGGAAUCAGCAAGGGAGAGCAUGCGUGUCACGGAAGGGUUGAAGUGCUGCCCAGAGAAAAGCACUUGGCUUUUUCACCAAGAAGCCAGCUCAGAUCCAUCUCAUGAGGAGGAGCUUAGCUGCAGUGCUUGAUGCUAUUUCCAGAGUUUCACCAUGUUGUCCAACGAUGACAACAGGAAGAAAAAAAACACCAAAAAGUUGGCCAAAGACACAGAAGCCAGUAAAGAAAUGUGAGGCAAAGUCACAAUAGGUCACAAAGGCAAAGUCACAAUAGGUCACAAAGGCAAAGUCACAAUAGGUGAUCCAAAGGCAGAGUUCAGGACCAAUUCAUCCACCUGGUCCUAUAUGACAAACUCUGUAGACAGUGCCCAACUAUAAACCACUCCAGCUGUGCUCUCUGAGAGACUGAAGACUCCAGGUGCCCUGGCUAGAGCAGCCUUCAGGAGUGUCUUAGCAGAAGAUGCAUCAACCUGACUACAAAGCACAGAGCCCAUGUCAUUUACACCACCAACACGAAGAAUAGAGAUGUCCUAGCUACUGCCAAAGAUGCCAGAGGACGUUCAACAGACAGGAUAUUUGAAAAAGUAAAACUUUAUUAAACGAAAACCAACAAACUUUAUCAUAGAAAGGACCCACAUAGCUGGGAGCCAGAAGGGUCCCCAGUUUGCCUCUCUAGAGUCUUGGUUGCAGUUCUAGCAUGAAUCUCACUAUGACCUUGAGCAAGACUGCUCCAUUGUGGCCUCAGCUCAGACACGGAGGUACCAUAAAUUGUUCUUUGAUUAUUUUAAGUAAUCAAAUACUUUUCAUGAAAAAAUUAAAGCUUUGCAGGGAGGCUCUCUGUAUUUAAAGAUCAAGGCUGCAAUGACUUCUCUUUCCCCGAAGCCUGGCAGCUCUGCCGCUCUCCAGGAGCAUGGGGAGGGAGCCCUGAUGGGGAGCUUCCAGCAGGAUCAGUGGGGGCCUCAGACACCACUAGCAUGGCACACCUUUGAACACAGAACAAUGACAACCAAAAGUCCCUGGAAAUGGGUGAGGCGUGAUAUAAUAAAAUAUUGACUUUCUCUAGAAAAGUUCUGUUCCUGGCUCAAACUGUUCCUGUCUAAAAGGACACUUGGUAGAGUUCUACUUCAUUAUUAAAGUACUCUGUGUUUAUUAUAGUCUACUUUUCACUUUUCUGUGCAUGAGCAAUUGCCUGUAUACUCCAGUGCACAUCGUGUGAGUACAUGUAGAAGCCAAGAGACAACCUCGGAUGUUGUUAUUUGGGGUAGGCUGGUUGCCAGCGACCUGGAGUCUGUCUUCCCCCCUCCUUCACCAUAUGGGCACCAAAGAUCAAGCAAACACUCAGGUUGGUGGUGAGCAUCAUCACUUGGCUGAGCCAUCUCCCAGAACUCUACCCAGCUUUUAUAAAUGUGGAUUCUAAAGGACUCAAAAUUAGGUGCCUGUUCUCACAAGGAAAACCCUUUGCCCCCUGAGCCAUUUCCCCAGAUCCACUAUAGACUGUGGGGAUAACACAUAAGUAUAAAGAAGAUAUCUAUGAGGUGUGGUGCUGCAUAUCUGUAAUCCCAGCCCUUGGAAAGCUGAGGCACAAAAGACUGAAAGUUUGAGGCCAGCCUGAACUAUCAAGACCCUAUCUC
ensembl:antisense Gm12462 predicted gene 12462